AGUGAACGCUGGCGGUAGGCCUAACACAUGCAAGUCGAACGGCAGCACAGUAAGAGCUUGCUCUUACGGGUGGCGAGUGGCGGACGGGUGAGGAAUACAUCGGAAUCUACUUUUUCGUGGGGGAUAACGUAGGGAAACUUACGCUAAUACCGCAUACGACCUCCGGGUGAAAGCAGGGGAUCUUCGGACCUUGCGCGAUUGAAUGAGCCGAUGUCGGAUUAGCUAGUUGGCGGGGUAAAGGCCCACCAAGGCGACGCUCCGUAGCUGGUCUGGGAGGAUGAUCAGCCACACUGGAACUGAGACACGGUCCAGACUCCUACGGGAGGCAGCAGUGGGGAAUAUUGGACAAUGGGCGCAAGCCUGAUCCAGCCAUACCGCGUGGGUGAAGAAGGCCUUCGGGUUGUAAAGCCCUUUUGUUGGGAAAGAAAAGCAGCAGGUUAAUACCCCGCUGUUCUGACGGUACCCAAAGAAUAAGCACCGGCUAACUUCGUG
rnacentral:rRNA from 1 species